rnacentral:tRNA from 1 species
GUUCAUGUAGCUUAUAUUAAAGCACGGCGCUGAAAAUGCCAAGAUAGAUUUUAAAACAUCUCACGGACA